GGAGAGAUGGCUGAGUGGACUAAAGCGGCAGAUUGCUAAUCCGCUGUACGAAUUAUUCGUACCGAGGGUUCGAAUCCCUCUCUCUCCG
rnacentral:tRNA from 1 species